UACGGAAGGCAGCAGUGGGGAAGUAUUGCACAAUGGGCGAAAGCCUGAUGCAGCUAUGCCGCGUGUAUGAAGAAGGCCUUAGGGUUGUAAAGUACUUUCAUCGGGGAGGAAAAACAAAACUAAUAAUUUUAUUUCUUGACGUUACCCGAAAAAGAAGCACCGGCUAACUCCGUGCCAGCAGCCGCGGUAAUACGGAGGGUGCUAGCGUUAAUCAGAAUUACUGGGCGUAAAGAGCACGUAGGUGGUUUUUUUAAGUCAGAUGUGAAAUCCCUGGGCUUAACCUAGGAACUGCAUUUUGAAACUGAAAUACUAGAGUAUCGUAGAGGGAGGUAGAAUUCUAGGUGUAGCGGUGAAAUGCGUAGAUAUCUGGAGGAAUACCUGUGGCGAAAGCGGCCUCCUAAACGAAUACUGACACUGAGGUGCGAAAGCGUGGGGAGCAAAACAGGGAUUAGAUACC
rnacentral:rRNA from 1 species